ensembl:snRNA U6 U6 spliceosomal RNA
GUGCUCGUUUCGGCAGCACAUACACUAAAAUUGGAACGAUACAGAGAAGAUUAGCAUGGCCCCUGCACAAGGAUGACAUGCAAAUUCGUGAAGCAUUCCAUAUUUUA